rnacentral:tRNA from 1 species
GGAUUGAAUGGCAAAAUG